rnacentral:misc_RNA from 1 species
GACAUUUCCAUUAAUGGUAACAUUGUGUUUCGAGAUAUUGACAUUGUGAGAAUAGCGGGGGGUGUUAACAGUGCUCUUGUACUGAACACGACCAUUCCAGUCAGUGGCAGGAUCUUGACGAUCACAUUACAUCCAACAACGGGGACUCAUGCCAUCAUUAAUGCCAUUGAGAUUUUUGAGGUUAUACCAGUUGAAUCUAAAACAUUACCCGAGGAAGUAAAGGCUUUACAGUCACUGAAACUUGCACUUGGACUUCCCCUUCGUUUUGGGUGGAAUGGUGAUCCAUGUUUUCCGCAACAUCCGUGGAGUGGAGUAGAUUGUCAGUUUGACAACUCCAGCAAUAAAUGGGUCAUCGAUGGGCUUGACCUGGACAACCAAGGUUUACGAGGUUUCUUACCAGAUGAUGUUUCUCAAUUGCGUCAUCUUCAGAGCAUAAAUUUGAGUGGAAACAACAUUCACGGGCUUAUUCCCUCAGCACUUGGAACAAUAACUAGUCUGGAGAAAUUGGAUCUUUCAUACAAUUCCUUCAACGGAUCGAUUCCUGAAAGCCUUGGGGAAUUGACGUCGUUACUGACACUGAAUCUCAACGGCAAUUUGCUCUCUGGAAAAAUUCCUGCAGCGUUAGGCGGAAGGCUCUUG